UUGAUUUGGAUAUUUUCGUGUUCCCUUAAGGAAAAAAAUAUUGUGAUUCGAAAAGAGAUUAUCUUGAUUCAUGGGAUUUUUCCUAUUGAUGGUGGGAAGAUAGAAAUGUUGGUUUGGUUGCAAGUUCAUUGUAAUUUUUAUCUUUACUUUCUUAUAAUUAAUAUCAUGAAGUUUAGCGAAAUAUCCUUGUGAAUUCACAAAUUUUGGUGUGCAAUGAGAUGGCUAUAAUGUAAAUAGACUUCUUGCACUUUUUAAUCAACAAACAAUGGUAA
rnacentral:lncRNA from 1 species